CAGUGGAGUCCGUAGACCUGAUGUCUGCUAUUUGGUGUCCUCCAGAUGGUUGUCCAAGGCCUGGUGAUUGGAAAACUCACAGGCCAUUGUAUGGAGCAGACCCUGCUCAGACUCAGCAUCCUCAUCUUUGCUGGUGUGGGGCUGGGCAUGGCCCUGAUAAGGAUUGUAUGACAUUACUGCAUCAUCGUGGUGCCGCUGGUAUUUGCCUUCAGCGUGCAGGGCACCAUCACUGACAGCAUCCUCACCAAGGCCGUGUCCUCCUCUGACACCGGUAAGGCCAUCACAAACAUCAAGCAUGUCUUUUUCCCCUUUUUUGGGUCCACCGGGUAGUGGUGUUUGAACAACCCUGAAUAAACAUCUUAUUCCCAGACCACCAGGCUUUUAUAAGGCCUGGACCUCCAUCCCCUUUUGCUCUGCACAAGGUGAAGUCCCCAGUUUGAUAGGACUUGUUCUUUGUGAGCACUUCCCUCACAAAGCAGACACUGAGCCCAGUGCCAUCAUCCCUAACUGAGCACCAAGCUGUCUGUUUUGCCCCCUGCCUCAUGCCAUCCCUGUCACUGCUCUCCCCUUUGGACAUAUUUCUGUGAACAGUCACUGCAUUUCUCUGUGCAAUGGGGCACAAAUCUUCACACAUGCAAUAUUUCUUCAGUCGACAAAGAUACCUCUAUGCAGAACCCUACUGAGAAUCAGAUUUAGAGUCCAUUAAUGAAGUUUAUAAAGCACUUUGGAGGUGCAUCUGGAUGAAGAGCUUUUCUAAAUGUCACUCCAGUGGUUUAUUUGUAGAAUUGAAGAUUGCCUCUACUUGUCCUUCAUGGCAGGGGAGUUGGGCUAGAUGACUUUUAAAGGUCCUUUUCAACUCAAAUGAUUCUAUGAUUUUGCUAUGAGUGCUGGGAUCCUGCAGUGUUCAGGCACAGUGCUUCCACCUGGGAGAGAAGCCUUGGGACUGCAUGGAGGCAAGGGAUGGGGUGUGCCAGGAGCAAAUCUGCUGCUUCAUGGCUUGGAGCAGCACUCAUCAGGGACAAGGAAUAUUGGAGGAAGGGCACCAAGGGGCUCUAGGGUAUGAAGAAAGGCUGGAACUCAUCCAGAUUCUGCUCAAAAGGGCUCUGUAAGGAAAAAUGGAGCAUUGCUCGGCUGUUAAAGCCAGCCCAGAGGCAAAAUUCAGUCAGAGAGGAAAAUGAGUUUAGUUGCCUCAUCCUGGUCCUCGCUUGCAUAUGUUCUUACGACAGGAUGGGGUAGAUGCAGAUGGGCAGGAUGGAGAUGACCCAUGAGGUGACAGGAGGAUGUUUUUAGAUGCUGGGAGAGUAUGGGCUCUAUUGUGCCCAUCCAUCCCAGGCUGAUGCCAUGCCAUGUGCUCCUGGAUCAAAACUAGGUGUGAUGAGGAGGGACACAGCUGGCUAGGAGGAUCACAGCAUUGGAGGAAAUCCAUCUUCUCUGGUCCUUUGUGCCCCUCGCUCUUGUGACAUGCCUUCUCAUUGCGGUGUUCCCCAGGGAGGAGGCUCUGUUCCCAGGCAGGGCAGGAAUGCCUGACACAGCAGAGCUGUGGCUCUGCAAGCUGCCUCCCUGCAGCAGCUGUGGCGUGGGUGUCCCUGGGGGCAAUGCUGCCAUGCAGUGCUGUUCCAGCACAGGGGUGCUGCAACCAAAGGGACAGCAGCUAAAGCUUGGCUCCUUCCCCUGCCAACCCAAAACUGGCACUGCAGAGGACCCAUCUAAGGCCACUCCUACAGAAGCUCAUGAAUUCUCCAGAAGAAAACAAAGUGGAAAUGAUCUCAUUCGUUUCCCUUUGAUUUUUUUUUUCCCCUCCCCAUCUUCAAAGGCAGGAAGGGAAAAUGUUGCAUGGCACACAUGUGUGCUGCUCUGCUGUGUGUGUGCUGGUGGGAGCACAGCCACAAGCCAAGGCAGGCCCACAGUCACACAAGCACUCCUUGUCCCCCGAGAAUGGGGGUCUUGUUACUGCUUUAUGCAUGAAGGCAGGGAGGAAGCAGAGCAGAGCAGUAUCCUGGACCCAUAUCUCGUGAUUUGAUUUGCACAUCAGGAGCAAAGCCUUAGGAGUAGAGCCUGCAGCAAUAAUACUCUGCCACCGGCAUCCCAGCCUGGGAAAGGAAAGAGGA